CUGACGUCAUCGGACCCUUUGAGCCUCUGUGUAGCUGGUCAUUAUCUGUGUUCCACACUGAAGCGCAAGUUCAGCGAGGACAGAGGUUUGGGCAGCUUUGUUCACUGCUGUUUCCUGGUGUCUAGAGCGCAGCCUGGCCCGCGAGUGUUGACGGUGGUCCUGCGGUCCCGGCCCCUUCCUUUCGACUGUGUGUGGCGUGGCCUGCAGGAGCUCCUAGACUCGGGACUCCAUUGCGUCGGCUGGGUGAUCCCUUGAGGAAGACAGCGUCAGUCUACGAGGAGAGAGCUGUUGACAACUCACUGUGCAGGUGAUAUGAGACUAAAUGCAACUUUGGAUGGUCUCAAUGGAGCCCGUGGCCAAGACAUUGUUCCCCAACCGGUCCACGUGCUGCCCUGCAUUUCCCAGCCUCUCUUGCAGUUGGAGUCAGAAAUGACCACAGACCAAAGCCACGAGCUCUGAAGUUUUCCUGCCCCAAUACUGUGACAUCUGCCGUGGCACAGAGGAAGCCGCAGCCCUGGGCAGACACUAUGUGUCUGCUUGUGGAUAGGAAAGCUGAGGGUUUGUGGGAUAUGCCCCAAACCUGAAAAUUCUCCAGAAAUCCUUGGCUGAGGGCACAGAGACCCAGACAUCCCCCCCAGAGUCUUGGCUGGGGCCACCCUGCCCACUGAGUGUCGAACCCCGAGCUGUGCUCCCACAGCAAAGGAAACCACUGAUGUGGGGGGAGUGCGAGAAGGUACACCCGAAUGGAAGCUGCAGGCUGCCCGAGGCCGUCCCUCCCACCCCUUCCCACACUUCCCUUCCGUGAAGAGCUGGCCCCGCUCAAAGGUGAGGUAAAGAGACCAGCACAGGAACUGUGCACCGAUGCUGUGAAAAGGGAGAAAGGGGACAUAAAGGCAGGUGAGGAAUGCACACCACAAGAGGGAUCGCCCAAAGACAUCAGGGAAACAGUUGUUUGUCACAGCCUCCAUUAAUUUCAAAUGACACAGCGUUUCUUUAAAAGGACUCAAAUAAGAAAUACGAGGAUCGAAAGAGGUGACUUCAAGUAACAGCACGAGGUGAAAAUCAAGCUGGCUGUCCUCAGGAAUGAAACAGAAGGAAGGGAGAAAAAGAAACAGAAGAGAUUAAAACCACAUUAGCAACGCCAGUGAAUAAAAGGGGUGUGACGAACUGUGAUAAGGAACACUGUGGAUAAGCUGCAGAAAGUCAUACAACAUUCAACAGAAGAGGAGAGCCUUUUCUGGUGUCCAAGAUUAGGGUGACGAGGGGCAUACAAGACAGACAGAGGUUAUCUAGCAAAUAAACCUUGUAUGGGACAAGUGGUCUAAAAAAUUUCAAAUUAUACAGAAAGUCUGGAAAAGUCAUGAAUCUGCCACCCCAAAGUGCAUACAAUCACCCAAGAAAUUUUGCUGAAGAAUGACCAGCUCUGAGACAAAUCUGAAUGAAAUAAUUGAGCUUCAAAAAUAAAAGAUUCAUCUAGUAAAUAGGUCACAUCACAACAGGGGGGAAGUCAGGUGGGCAUGAAUGUCUCCAUAAUGACGCCAGAAGACACAGUGAGGCCACGCCCACAAGGUUCUGAGGGAAAGAAAAUACACUCCGUGAGUUUCAUACUCAGCCAAGCUGUCUUUCAAGUAAAUAGGCAACACAUUCUCCAGUGUGCAGAGCUCACCAAACAACAUGCACAAGUCUUUCUGGAAAAAAUAUCCCUUCAAAAAAUUUGAAAUGCAAAAAGAAUAUAAGGAAGGCAAAGAUGUGGGUAAAAAUUAAAAUAAAAAAGAAGAAAGGCAGGCAGGUAGGCAGGAAGCACUGGGGCUGAGAACAGGCUGCAUUUAAAUGCAGCGCUCACCCCAGAUUUCCAUGCGAAUUGUGCUUCUGCAGCAGCAUGAAGUGUGUAAGGCCUGACAAGGGAAUGGUCACAUUUUAAGGGACAGUGUAAGUGUAAUAAGAGCACUAACUUCCUAACCUUUAGUACAAGGGAGUCAAUACAGUCAGUCCACAAUCAAAGCAAAGUUCUUUUUAAAGCAUAACCACAACAUCUUAACAUUUUAUAAGUUUUCUUAACUGCCACGCCCUCUUCCAACCAUGUUUUUUGACAAGGUCUGAACAUGGAAAGAGGGCAUUCAAGGAAUCCAUCUUCCUGGAAGAGGGCGUGGCAUACAAAGGGGGGCGGUAACUUU